AGAGUUUGAUCAUGGCUCAGGACGAACGCUGGCGGCGCGCCUAACACAUGCAAGUCGAACGAGCGAGAGAGAGCUUGCUUUCUCGAGCGAGUGGCGAACGGGUGAGUAACGCGUGAGGAACCUGCCUCAAAGAGGGGGACAACAGUUGGAAACGACUGCUAAUACCGCAUAAGCCCACAGGUCGGCAUCGACCAGAGGGAAAAGGAGCAAUCCGCUUUGAGAUGGCCUCGCGUCCGAUUAGCUAGCUGGUGAGGUAAUGGCCCACCAAGGCGACGAUCGGUAGCCGGACUGAGAGGUUGAACGGCCACAUUGGGACUGAGACACGGCCCAGACUCCUACGGGAGGCAGCAGUGGGGAAUAUUGCACAAUGGGGGAAACCCUGAUGCAGCGACGCCGCGUGGAGGAAGAAGGUCUUCGGAUUGUAAACUCCUGUUGUUGAGGAAGAUAAUGACGGUACUCAACAAGGAAGUGACGGCUAACUACGUGCCAGCAGCCGCGGUAAAACGUAGGUCACAAGCGUUGUCCGGAAUUACUGGGUGUAAAGGGAGCGCAGGCGGGAAGACAAGUUGGAAGUGAAAUCUAUGGGCUCAACCCAUAAACUGCUUUCAAAACUGUUUUUCUUGAGUAGUGCAGAGGUAGGCGGAAUUCCCGGUGUAGCGGUGGAAUGCGUAGAUAUCGGGAGGAACACCAGUGGCGAAGGCGGCCUACUGGGCACCAACUGACGCUGAGGCUCGAAAGUGUGGGUAGCAAACAGGAUUAGAUACCCUGGUAGU
rnacentral:rRNA from 1 species